AUACGUAGGUGACAAGCGUUAUCCGGAUUUACUGGGCGUAAAGGGCGUGUAGGCGGUCUUGCAAGUCAGAAGUGAAAUUCCUGAGCUCAACUCGGGCGCUGCUUCUGAAACUGCAGGACUUGAGUGCUGGAGGGGAUAGCGGAAUUCCUAGUGGAGCGGUAAAAUGCGCAGAUAUUAGGAAGAACACCGGUGGCGAAGGCGGAUAUCUGGACAGAAACUGGCGCUGCAGCGCGAAAGCCUGGGGUGCACAACGGGAUAGAUACCCGUGGUGUCCGCGCCGUAAACGAUGAAUUCUAGGUGUAGGGGGUAUCGACUCCCUCUGUGCCGCAGUUAACACAAUAAGUAUUCCGCCUGGGGAGUACGGCCGCAAGGUUGAAACUCAAAGUAAUUGACGGGG
rnacentral:rRNA from 1 species